AGUUAUCCAAGUUGGAAUUUGGGCAGGACAGUAGAGUUAAUACCCCAGAUUGCCUUGGGUUCUUUAAUAAUAGCUGAAGGACCUGUAUGAUCUGAUCGAACUAAUUUAUAGGAGUGGGGUAGGGUGACAUCCUGACGAGCUAUUUUUGAGAAAGAUACUUAACACUUUUCUAAUAUGUAACUUUUGUGGUAAGAAAUUAAUCUGCAGUCAGAGCAGUUUUGUGCACUGAGAGAGGGAAAGCUAUUUAUCAGCACCACUUACGCUUCCCGUUUUACAUUUUCAAGAUGACUUGCUUGCUUACUAACCGUGUGCAUAGGUCGAAAGAGUUAGCGCAGAGCCAGUUCGAACUGGUUACUGUUUCUCCAGCCAGUAUUAAUGUUUCAGCUGUUUCACAGACACUUGGCAGGGGGAGGAGAGUGAGGCGAAUAAGCUGCUGAUUUGAUCUUUGAGCAACCUUGAGAGGGACAGAGAGCAGACAGGAAGCUGUAUAUGGGUGACCGGAAAUGGUGCCGCGGCUGGGAGGAUUCCCUAUCGAAGGCAGAACCGUCACAAACCAAACCUGACGUCAGCUGAUCUGCCAGAAGAAGAAACAAAAAGAAUCGCCAGGAUAUUUUCUGCACAGUUGUCCAAAAAGGAAUAGCAGAAGUAUGCAGAGUGGCUGUGUAGAGAGGAACUGCGUUAGUGCUCAUGCUCUACAUUUUGGGGAAACUCUGAUGCUUUCAAUAGGAGGGGGAGAGGGAAUGACUUUAACUCUUCUGACUUCAAAAGAAUGUCAUCCUACCCACCCCCACCAGGUUAGCAUAGAACCCACUCGCCUAAAAGAGAAAUAAGAGAAGUAAAUUCCACUCUCAUUGAUUUAAUGUGUGUAAUUGCUCCUCAUUUUAAAUGGGAGUUAACUACCCACGUCAAACAGGGAAGCUUAGAUGCGGAGUAUCCUCUAUUCCCAUGGGUCUGUUGGAAGUUGAGGGUGCUGUGCAUCUUGCAAGAUCAGAUCUCUGGAGAAAGGCACUGACUGACUUUAGUAACCUGAACAUUGUCAUCUGAUCUCUGGGAAGCCCCAUCUGUGGGAAAUUCUUCUAAUCACGCUUUUUUGCCUGCUAGGUAAUGGAACUUCCAGUUGUUUGGACAAACUACUUUUUCUUGACACACGGGGGAAAGUUAGAAGCUGUUUCAGUUUUAAGAAAAAUGAAAUAUCUGUUUAUUUUUUCCCUGGAGAAAAAGUACAUUAGAAUCCUCUGCAACAAGACACACAAUUGCAGUCUCCAUUCAAAUGUGCACAGACAACCCAGACUUGGGAAGCUACAGUCCUUGUUUUGUAUGCUAAUGACCUUUUUUAAAAACACGUUGAUUUGUAAGACAAAUCCGUUGCCUUGAAUGCUGAAGUAAGGCUUAUUUUUAUAUGGGUUGGGUAGAUUGUAAGUAAAAUGUACAGAUACUGUAAAAUAAAUUAUCUAUGCAAGACUGUUUUGCUAGCAAGUAUGGAAUUUUGUGGGCAAAUUAUUUUUCUUAUUUUUAUUAAUUUAUGUAGUCAUUUCUCAUUUUAAAAAAUCACAAGUUUCAAGUGUCUCUAGAUAACUGAUCUAAACACAAACCAUGCUAACUUAUUUUUAAUAAGGUUUGUUUCAAUAAAAUAAAACUUUUAUUUUUGUGCCUU